rnacentral:rRNA from 1 species
CAAUAGCGUAUAUUAAAGUUGUUGCAGUUAAAAAGCUCGUAGUUGGACUUCUGAUGUGAAAGAUCGGUCCACCGCAAGGUGAGCACUGAUUCUUCGCGUCUUCCUCUCGUAGUUGUUUCGCGCACUUAGUUGGGUGCGAGAUGAAUAUGGGACCUUUACUUUGAAAAAAUUAGAGUGUUCAAAGCAGGCAAUCGCUUGAAUACAUUAGCAUGGAAUAAUAAUAUAGGAUCGAGAUUCUAUUUUGUUGGUUUCUAGAAUCACGAUAAUGAUUAAUAGGGAUAAUUGGGGGCAUUUGUAUUAACGCGUCAGAGGUGGAAUUCUUGGAUUGCGUUACGACAAACUACUGCGAAAGCAUUUGCCAAGGAUGUUUUCAUUGAUCAAGAACGAAAGUAUGGGGAUCGAAGACGAUCAGAUACCAU